rnacentral:misc_RNA from 1 species
GAUGAAGAACGUAGCGAAAUGCGAUACUUGGUGUGAAUUGCAGAAUCCCGUGAACCAUCGAGUCUUUGAACGCAAGUUGCGCCCGAAGCCAUUAGGCCGAGGGCACGCCUGCCUGGGCGCCACACGUCGUUGCCCCCCCAUCUACUCCUUCGGGAUUGCGGGGGGCGGAUGAUGGCCUCUCGUGCGCCUCGUCGCGCGGUUGGCCUAAAUGCCAAGUCCUCGGCGACGCACGCCACGACAAUCGGUGGUUGCGAAACCUCGGUUGCCUGUCGUGUGCGGUCGUCGCGCAUCGAGGGCUCGAAAAAAUUGCCGGGCUUCGGCUCGACUUUCAACGCGACCCCAGGUCAGGCGGGGUUACCCGCUGAAUUUAAGCAUAUCAAUAAGCGGAGGA